AAUUGUAAGAAUUCUUAGCUCAUUCAGAAGUAACUUUUAUUGGUCACUUGCUUGUUUAAUAAUCAAAAGCAUAACGUCAGCACAAAAGCACAGAAAGCUACUCUGGUAAGACACAGAGUCUCUGCCACUCGAGAUUACAUAGAAGCCUCAUUAUUUGCAGGUAUUAUAAUCCCAGGCAAACGAAAUUUCUUUCUGCAAACCUAGAACCUUUGACCCAUAUUUCCUCUGUCUGCUCUGCUCUUCCAAAGCGAAGAGGACAACUCACCCCGCUUCCUUGCAUCCACGUCCAUAUGUUCUGCCACCACUGUUUCUAAGAUGCUCUCAACCACGUAGAGUAAUUCUAACUUUUAAACAAAGAAGAAUAGAUCCUGAUCAUCCCAACAGAGAUCACCAAGAGGUCAGUGUGGAGACGAAAUCCCCGACCAGUGCUGCCACCAACAGAGAAUGUCACAGCAGCCGUGCACAAGCCAGACUCACGUGUGCACAGAGCCAUAUCUGUGGAGACUCACCUGGAACAUGCUUGUCUCUGGACACCUGAACACCGAUGAGCAAGGGGCAUGGCCCUAACAAGGCACAGAUGGGCUGAUUGACAUGACCCAGAAGCAGAAACAAAAACAGAAACACAGACUCGGGCUUUCUUUGGCCUCUGCAGAAAGCAGGUUGGGUCUUGGAGAAAGAACGAUGAAGAGUAGUAACUCCUGUUACAACCACCGUUGCAAUACCAGUCUUUUUGCUGGAGAAAAUCAGCACAGGACAUCGCACUGGCCCGCUGUAUGGAGAAUACUGGCUGAGAGGAGCUGCAGAGCCAGAGGAUGCAUUGGUAAUUGUAAUAUUUCAACUUUGUCAACUUUGGUGACAGAGAAAGAAAAACCCAGGGAAACAUUCUACAAUCGUCUUUCUGAAACUGGAGAUGACACCGCAGUAGGUUUCAGCCUCAUGUCAUCUCCUGUCUCCUUGACAGGCCCUCCUUGGUUACCCGCCUGGAAGAAGUCUCCCCACCCCAUGUUGCUACGUAUCACAAGACUUUGUUUUCUUUCACUGUAAUUGUCACGCUUUCGACCGUUUUGUGUGUUUACUUUAUUUCCAAAUCUCCUCACCUGCACCAGAUUUAACAAAUCCUCUCACUGAGGCUGACCUGGCUCCUGCUGAUCUGAGUGCCCAGCAGCCAGCAGCCUGUGAACACCGUGUGUGUCACAUGUGUUGGAGGGGGCACUGAUUUGUCCCCAACAGAGUAGACACAUCAAGCUGUGGCCCAGCGUGCUCCUGUCUGGCCAGCACCUGUGGACUGACUGAGGGUCUCACUCACCAUGGUUUUGCCACACUGCACUGCUUCUGACAAAAGAACCCGCUUUAAGGGGGAAGGAGCAGAGCAGAGCACCCAACUGUCCACGUGACGUCUCUUUCAGGAUGUUUUAAAGGCAUCUCAUGCUCAGCACAUCCAAACCAAACUCAUGAUCUUCCCCCGUAACCCAAGGCUCUUCCGCCAUUCUCUGAGUGAAUGGUGCUGAC
rnacentral:lncRNA from 1 species